rnacentral:rRNA from 1 species
GACGAACGCUGGCGGCGUGCUUAACACAUGCAAGUCGAACGAUGAAGCCUAGCUUGCUAGGUGGAUUAGUGGCGAACGGGUGAGUAAUACGUGAGUGACCUACCUUUGACUCUGGGAUAAGCCUGGGAAACUGGGUCUAAUACCGGAUACGACCAAUCUCCGCAUGGGGUGUUGGUGGAAAGCGUUAUGGAGUGGUUUUAGAUGGGCUCACGGCCUAUCAGCUUGUUGGUGAGGUAAUGGCUUACCAAGGCGACGACGGGUAGCCGGCCUGAGAGGGUGACCGGCCACACUGGGACUGAGACACGGCCCAGACUCCUACGGGAGGCAGCAGUGGGGAAUAUUGCACAAUGGGCGCAAGCCUGAUGCAGCGACGCCGCGUGAGGGAUGACGGCCUUCGGGUUGUAAACCUCUGUUAGCAUCGAAGAAGCGAAAGU